rnacentral:rRNA from 1 species
UACGUAGGGUGCGAGCGUUAAUCGGAAUUACUGGGCGUAAAGCGUGCGCAGGCGGUUUUGUAAGCCAGAUGUGAAAGCCCCGGGCUUAACCUGGGAAUGGCAUUUGGGACUGCAAGGCUGGAGUGUGGCAGAGGAGGACUGGAAAUUCCUGGUGUAGCAGUGAAAUGCGUAGAUAUCAGGAGGAAUACCGAUGGCGAAGGCAGGUCUCUGGGCUAACACUGACGCUCAUGCACGAAAGCGUGGGGAGCAAACAGG